GUCUUACUGCGUGCUGGCUCUUAUCCACACAGGCGACAGUGAGAAGGAACCUGGGCAGCAAGAGAUAAGCCAAUAUAUCUGCUUGUUGAGCCUACAGUUAAAAAUAAUUACAGAGAACAUGGUGAUGCUUCAGAACUGUUAGUGCACACAGGCACUUCCACCUGCUGAGGAGGUAUAAGGAACUAUGGAUGAGUUGGUGACUUGCGAAUGGACCUGCUCGAAUCCUCCCUUCCCACAGGUGGAUCACAGUCCUGCAUGUUC